AGUCUUCUUGCCAAUGUUUUAGUCUUAUUUCUUCAUUUUGUGUUGCUCCUACAUAAUAUUUUAAUUUUCCACAUGGUUUUGCUUUAUUUACAAUGUUUUUUCUCUCUCUCUUCUGCAUUCCUGUUUCUCAGUUGCUCCAUGAAUAAAACUAAUAAUCUCAAUCACCACAUAAAGUUAUAAAAUUAUCUCUUACAAUACUUGCCUUCACUGUAGGAAGCACGGGUGUGCUACGAAUGCGGGUAUGGCUACGUAAUGGGUAUGCCAAAAAUAGUUUUUCAUAAUUUAUAAUAAUUAGAAAAUCAAAUGCAAAAAAUAUUGUAAGUGACAAUUAGAAAAAGAGAGAAUAAUAGACAGAGAGGCUACAGAAAUAGAGAUGAAGGGGGGUACUCCAAGACAGAGAGGGUUGUUGAAAAAAAAUAGAGAAGAAUAUGAAGAGACAGAGAGUCAGAAAAACUUGGAAGCCAAAAAAAGAACCCUAGUAUUUUUGAAAUUUUUGAUAACUGAAAAAAUACACUGCAUUUAAAAAAAAAAUUUAAAAAUAGGCACAGUGCAAUUCCCUAUAUUUUUUUUAAAUUUACAUUUAUGUCCUAAUCUACCUACAAAAGUACCCAAAACUUACCCAUCAUGUAUUCAAAACAUACUCAUCCCAUACCCGAGUUGUACCCAUCCUGUGCUCGAGCCAUGGCCAACAUUAAAAAGUACUAGAUACAUAUUUCACAUAUCUGGUAUGCAUGCAGCCGUAACGGUAUGCAUGCCUUGUUGGGUAAGUACCCAAUACCCAUUCAACAAAAUUUUUGGUGUAUCCAUGCUUGAUGGCCUUCAUGCUAGCUAACGCUAGGAUGUCGUGCAUUGCCUUCUUGGUUAAAAUACAUUGAAAGUUGCUGCUAGAAACUUCUUUGGUCUAUACUUCUGCUAUUUGACUUCGCAUUAUGUACAAAUAAUAUAUUAGCUUGAUUUCUCUUUUAUGAAGUGUCCAUCUGCUUUAAUAUAUGCUUUCUUCUAUCAUGCUCGACUUGUUCAUUUGCAACAUUGAUUUGUGGCUUUAUUGCAAUAAAAGAGUCCUUGGCUUCUUAGUAUCCAAUCAUAUAUGUCAACAAAAUCUGCAACCAAAGAAAUGUUUGCAUCAAUAUAACAUUCCAUAGAAGCCAUUUUUAGGGGCAGACAUUGGGGGUGGUAAUAUCAUGGAAAAUGCUUUAAGAUGAAAAACUCUGGAGACAUACCAUUGAGUUAUGUUUAGGUAUAUAAACUGUUAAGAGUAGAGUUUGUCUCUGUUAUAUUUCUCUGUUUUAUUGGUAAGGGUAUUAUGGUCAUCUUGUAGUUCUCACUCUAAUAUAAAUAUGGGAAAUUUUAUUUCCACACUAUCAAUACUCUUAGUACACACCAUCUUCUAAGUUUACACAAUACCAAAUUUCAAAUUUUUUAUUUUUCUCAAAUCACACCACCUAUGUUCAAAUAAUCCCAAAAUACCCUCUUCCUCUCAAAAUGCGUAACCCUAACCCAACGUAGUCACCACUACCGCCAUCUACUGCCGGUUGUCCAUCUCCAGCCCAUCGUCCACUCAUCUUUCAUCUUUAUCCGCCUUCAUCCACCCUCAAAAACCACUCCCAUUGCUCUUCUCACCCACCCUGCCACCUCCAAUGCCAUCAUCUCCGUUGCCAACAACUUCGACCACGAUGAUAGAUAGUCGAUAGAGAUCGCCAUGGUGGUAGAGAGAGAGAGAGAGAGACUAUGUGUGUGGCGGGGACUAGUGGUGCUGAUGAGGAUGGGUUGGGUAUGGGCUCGCUGGAGAUGACGGCGGUAGCAGCGACGGCGGUAGUGGUAGAGCAAGGAAGGAUGAAAGAAGAGGUGGGGCGAUGACGGGGCUGGACAAGGUGGUGGCGGUGGCUAGUUGUUGAUGGUGGUGCCUAGAGGGGUGUGAUGGUGUGUAUUGAGGGAUUUGAUUUUAGGGAUUUUGUUCAAAAUGGUAAUUUCAUUCAAGGACACAAUGGUAAUUAAAAAAAAUUGGACAACGGUGUGUACUGAGAAUAAUGAUGGUGUGUAAAUAUAAUUACCCUAUAAAUAUAUGUUACAUGAAGGGGGCUAGGUUAUGCAACCCUAGUCUCUAUUCUUUUGUCUAUUCUCUUUUCUUCUCUCUUUCUCAUUCUAACCCUAAUUUUCACAUAAUCUGUUAUUUUUCCAACCCUAAUCACAAUUCAUCCUUACUUGGGGAAAUUUCAAACGCACGUGAAGUCACAAAGUGCCAACAAGAGUUCUAGCCUGAUCUCAUUAUAGCAUAUCAUAAUAAUGAGUUUGGUGAUAAAUAAAGAUCUUAGUAGUGUAGAAAAUUAGCUUAAGAACCAAGUAAACAAAAUCAGAUCAUGAUGGAACUUUGCGAAGUGAUACAUCAAUCGAGGACAAAAUUUGCACAGUGAAAGAGGGUCAUCUUCCGUUUUCUUCUAAAGAUUACCAUCUUGUACCCUUCAAAGCCCAAACUCAAUGAAAUUCUCUAUGCAAGCUUGGAUUGGUUGGAAAAAGACAUUUGUUUUGCUUUUUCUUUGUGCCAAAAGCUAGCUUUUUUUCUUGGUACAGCCAAAGCUAGCUCAUUUUGAAUAAUUAGUUUCUUAUUUGGUCUUGGCAUGGUUGGCUUUUUAACUUCAGUUUGCUCUUUGAAACCAUGCAUUUUCUCAGUCUAUCUUCAAUGUUAGUAAAUCAUUUGAAGCCAACUACUUCUCUUCACUUGGAAAAUAUGGAAAAAUGGAGUGAUGUUUUAGACUGCCUGCAUGUUAGGUUUGACGGAGAGCAUUUUUGGGCUCUAGUUUGGAGUUGUAUUUAAAAUUCCUGACAGAAGUUAUAAUCUUUGCUCAGCCUAAUCUGGGACAUGUAAGUUAAAUCACAAGACAUAAUGUUUGUUCUCACCUCCUUGAUCCGUUUGAAAUUUAAUCACAUCUCACUUCCUUAUUGUUAUGGUCGUUGUUCUUCAUUCUAUAUAAUUUUCUCAAGCCAUCUUGGAUGACUUAGCAUCGUUCUCUUGUGUUGCCAUCUAUCCCUCUUUAACAUCUUUGGCAACUUAAAUUCUGCGACUUGUGCAUUCUUGAUUAUUUUCAUAGUUGAUAUCAUACACCUUCUGUAGCUUAUAAUAACUCGUUAUGGAAACUACCUAUAAUGUGAUUAAAUAUGUAGCUAUUUUUGUCAUGAUACUAUUUUCUAACUAGUUUCUCACUGAAUCAUAUGGUGCUGAUUUGUCAUCAGAAUAUGAGUUCACCAAAGUUCCCUUAUAUUAAGAUGCUCUAUCACUGAAAGUUCCGAUGUGUAAAUUUUUGUGGACUGAUCUGAAAGCGUGAUUCA